UACGGAGGGUGCAAACGUUGCUCGGAAUCAUUGGGCGUAAAGCGCACGUAGGCGGUCUGUUAUGUCGGAUGUGAAAGCCCUUGGCUCAACUGAGGAAGUGCAUCCGAAACUGGCAGGCUAGAGUACUAAAGAGGAUCGCGGAAUUCCCGGUGUAGAGGUGAAAUUCGUAGAUAUCGGGAGGAACACCGGUGGCGAAGGCGGCGAUCUGGGUAGAUACUGACGCUGAGGUGCGAAAGCGUGGGGAGCAAACAGG
rnacentral:rRNA from 1 species